rnacentral:rRNA from 1 species
UACGAAGGGGGCUAGCGUUGUUCGGAAUUACUGGGCGUAAAGCGCACGUAGGCGGAUAUUUAAGUCAGGGGUGAAAUCCCAGAGCUCAACUCUGGAACUGCCUUUGAUACUGGGUAUCUUGAGUAUGGAAGAGGUAAGUGGAAUUGCGAGUGUAGAGGUGAAAUUCGUAGAUAUUCGCAGGAACACCGGUGGCGAAGGCGGAUCUCUGGGCCUUACCUGACGCUGAGGCGCGAAAGCUAGGGGAGCGAACAGG